rnacentral:rRNA from 1 species
GAUGAACGCUGGCGGCGCACAUAAGACAUGCAAGUCGAACGGACUUAACUCAUUCUUUUAGAUUGAGAGCGGUUAGUGGCGGACUGGUGAGUAACACGUAAGCAACCUGCCUAUUAGAGGGGAAUAACAGUGAGAAAUCAUUGCUAAUACCGCAUAUGCUGACAGUAUCGCAUGAUACAGUUAGGAAAGGAGCAAUCCGCUAAUAGAUGGGCUUGCGUCUGAUUAGUUAGUUGGUGAGGUAACGGCCCACCAAGACGAUGAUCAGUAGCCGGACUGAGAGGUUGAACGGCCACAUUGGGACUGAGAUACGGCCCAG